CCUACGGGUGGCUGCAGUGGGGAAUAUUGGACAAUGGGCGAAAGCCUGAUCCAGCCAUGCCGCGUGUGUGAAGAAGGCCUUCGGGUUGUAAAGCACUUUCAGUGGGGAAGAAAGCCUUGGGGCUAAUACCCUCGAGGAAGGACAUCACCCACAGAAGAAGCACCGGCUAACUCCGUGCCAGCAGCCGCGGUAAUACGGAGGGUGCGAGCGUUAAUCGGAAUUACUGGGCGUAAAGCGCGCGUAGGCGGUCUGAUAAGCCGGUUGUGAAAGCCCCGGGCUCAACCUGGGAACGGCAUCCGGAACUGUCAGGCUAGAGUGCAGGAGAGGAAGGUAGAAUUCCCGGUGUAGCGGUGAAAUGCGUAGAGAUCGGGAGGAAUACCAGUGGCGAAGGCGGUCUUCUGGACUGACACUGACGCUGAGGUGCGAAAGCGUGGGUAGCAAACAGGAUUAGAUACCCGUUAGUC
rnacentral:rRNA from 1 species